AAGUCGUAACAAGGUUUCCGUAGGUGAACCUGCGGAAGGAUCAUUAACACGUAUCCAAACGUUAAACCCCCCUGUGAACCUUCAGUGUACUCGUACGUCCGUUAGAAAAAGCAGCAAUCCCUGGUAAAUCAUCGCAGGGACGUCUGCAAGGAGCGUGCAUGUUGUGCGAAGCAAGUGGCCUGGCAUCCCCAAGCAGUUAGUGUCUGAAAGUGUCAUUAACUGUGUAAGGAUGACGCAGUCACGAUCGUUGGAGGCCCACACGGCCGACGACCGGGUCACUGGGCGCAAGCCCCCCUAUAACAAACGCUGCUAAUCGCGGCCGCGAUAAUACGCAGUCGACCAAAAACCGAACAACUGUUAACAAUGGAUAUCUUGGUUCUC
rnacentral:misc_RNA from 1 species